rnacentral:lncRNA from 1 species
CACUUCUUGCUGUCUUUCUCCAGCCUGUACUUUCCCAUUUUCCUUCUCUCCUCCUAUUCUUUCCUUGUCUGCCAUUUCUUAAUCUCUCUUCCUCUUCUUUCCAUCCUGGCCCUGACUCCUGAAAAUUUUCUUCCUCUUUCUCCAACCCUCUGCCUGACUACCUGCUACACUGUCAAUACCAUUAGUUUCACUCUUCUUUUCUCUCCCUUAUCUCACGCUUCGUCCGUCUCCGGCCGUGCCCCUCGCGGAGCUACGGAACCGUGGAUCAGGACUCCACACUCGCUUCGUACAAAAGUAUGUCUCAAUCACACGUCACACCCGACCCCCAAGGCAAUACUUAAUAUUUCUUACCUUGGUCUGUGCACAGAGUUACUGGAUCAGUUCUCAAACCCGGAGUGCCUACCUUCUUCCCUUACCCACUACUUCACGGAUCCUGCCUCUUUAAUCAGUCUCGAGCCCUCUGUCAGCUCUCUGCAGCACCGCCACUGUCGAUGCACAGGACCGCUGAAAUCGGCGGGACAUGCCUUCCUGCUGCUACGGUCGUGGGGCUCCCCGAUAGGUGACUGGAUCUCGGACGAGCCCCCAGAUUGUGAGAAACACUCCGUAGCCAAUAACUUAGGCUCAGGCGAGGAUCUCAGUGAAGUAGUAAUUUACUCGCAACUGCAAUGGCAGGUGCCAUACAAGCAGGAGCGCACCCUACUGGUUCCAAAACACAGUUUAUAUACUUUUUGGUGACAAGACCCUCCCGUUUCCCCACUGAGUGGCUAAUCCAGGUUCACAAUCUAUUUGAUGCUUAACAGACAAUGCCUGGCCUUCAGUUGCUGACCUGUUAAAUUUCAAAUUUCUUUUGACUCUUUUACUGUUUGAAGUGGUAAUGUUUCUUCACUUAUCUGACUUAACACCAUGAUUUUCACCUAAUUGUUCUAAGGAGUCUGGUUGUCUGCAUUUUACAAGGUCACCUGCUAAGUUUUCUUAUAACUGCAAGCAUAUCUCAAUACCCCAUUCCUUACCUUUAAACAAUGUAACUCUGCAAAAACAACAUUUUUAUUUCCACAAUGAUGAGUCCUCUCUCCUUCCAAAUUGCCCCAUGUGCAUGUACCACACCAAAGGCAUAUUUCUAAUCUGUCCAAAUGUUAAUUCUUUUGCCUUUUGCCAGCUCAAGAGUUCUUACCAAGGCGAUGAUUUCAGCCUUUUGGGCUGAUAACCAUCCGCAUAUCCUGGGAGGUGAAGUCCUUGGCGGACGAAGGUGCUGCCAUCUAUAUACCAAUCCUCUGCAUCUUCUAGGGGUGGUCGGCUUGUGGGAAUAGAAAUGUUGUUUUUGCAGUGUUACAUUGUUUAGAAGGAAGGAAUGUGGUAUUGAGAUAUGCUUACAGUGAUAAGAAAGCUCAGCAGGUGACCUCGUAAAAUGCAGACAACCAGACUCCUUAGAGCAAUCAGGUGAAAAUCACUAUGUUAAGUCAAGCCAGAUAAGGGGAGACAUUACCAUCUCAAAAACAGACCGGCAACUGAAGGCCAUGUAUUGUCUAUGAAGCAUCAGAUAGAUUGUGAACCCGGACUACCCACUCCAGUGGGGAAACAGGGGAGGGUUCUGUCAUCAAAAAGUAUAUAAACCGUGUUUUGGAACUAGUAGGGGCGCUCUCCUGCUUGUGGGGCGCCCGCCAUUGCAAUCGCGAAUAAAUU